rnacentral:rRNA from 1 species
UGGCAGCAGUCGAGAAUCAUUCACAAUGGGCGAAAGCCUGAUGGUGCGACGCCGCGUGGAGGAUGACAGCCCUAGGGUUGUAAACUCCUGUCAUGAGAGAGUAAAGACUUAACGUAAAUACCGUUGGGUCCUGAUAGUAUCUCAAGAGGAAGGGACGGCUAACUUCGUGCCAGCAGCCGCGGUAAUACGAAGGUCCCAAGCGUUGUUCGGAAUUACUGGGCGUAAAGCGUGCGUAGGUGGCAUGGUAAGUCAGAUGUGAAAUCCCGGGGCUCAACCCCGGAACUGCAUCCGAUACUGCCAAGCUAGAGUAGUGGAGGGGAGUCUGGAAUUCACGGUGUAGCAGUGAAAUGCGUAGAUAUCGUGAGGAACACUAGUGGCGAAGGCGAGACUCUGGACACUAACUGACACUGAGGCACGAAGGCUAGGGUAGCGAAAGGGAUUAGAUACCCCUGUAGUCCUAGCAGUAAACGGUGCGCGUUUGGUGUGGGCGGGUUCGACCCCGUCCGUGCCGAAGCUAACGCGUUAAACGCGCCGCCUGGGGAGUACGGCCGCAAGGCUAAAACUCAAAGAAAUUGACGGGGACCCGCACAAGCGGUGGAGUAUGUGGCUUAAUUCGAUGCAACGCGAAGAACCUUACCUAGGCUUGACAUGCUUGUCGUAGUUCUGUGAAAGCAGAUCGUCAGUUCGGCUGGACUUGCACAGGUGCUGCAUGGCUGUCGUCAGCUCGUGUCGUGAGAUGUUGGGUUAAGUCCCGCAACGAGCGCAACCCCUAUGAUUAGUUGCCAGCGAGUAAUGUCGGGGACUCUAGUCAGACUGCCUGUAUUAAACAGGAGGAAGGUGGGGACGACGUCAAGUCAGUAUGGCCCUUACGCCUAGGGCUGCACACGUACUACAAUGCCCAGUACAAUGUGAACCGAUACCGUAAGGUGGAGGAAAUCCUUAAAACUGGGCUCAGUUCGGAUUGUGGGCUGCAACUCGCCCACAUGAAGCUGGAAUCGCUAGUAAUGGCACAUCAGCUACGGUGCCGUGAAUACGUUCCCGGGUCUUGUACACACCGCCCGUCACAUCAUGGAAGCCGCUCGCACCCGAAGUACCUCUAUAGGGUCCUAAGGUGUAGGUGGUAACUGGGAUGAAGUCGUAACAAGGUAGCCGUAGGGGAACCUGCGGCUG